rnacentral:rRNA from 1 species
AGGACGAACGCUGGCGGCGUGCUUAACACAUGCAAGUCGAGCGGAAAGGCCCUUCGGGGUACUCGAGCGGCGAACGGGUGAGUAACACGUGGGCAACCUGCCCCUAGCUCUGGGAUAACUCCGGGAAACCGGGGCUAAUACCGGAUACGAUCUUCCAUGGCAUCUCGGAAGAUGGAAAGUUUUUUCGGCUAGGGAUGGGCCCGCGGCCUAUCGAGCUUGUUGGUGAGGUAACGGCCCACGAAGGCGACGACGGGUAGCCCGGGACCUGGACGACGGGCGUACCGGGCCAACGACGUGGGACUGACGACACGGCCAGACUCCGACGGGAGCAGCGAGGUGGGAAUAGUGCGCAAGUGGGACAAGCCAGACG